CUCGGAUGGGCCCUCUUAGAGAUUUCUACUCAUUUAGGCUCAAGUUCAUUGAGACUUUUCUUGGCUGACUUUGAUCACUAAUGAGCUGAUUUGCAUAGUUCUUUGUCUCUGACAUGACAGUUUUUACGUGUUACUAUUUUUAGCAUUUCCAUUGGACUUGUUUUAAAGUUUCCAUCUUUCUGCUGGCAAUUCUUGUCUGUUCGUGCACACGGUGCCGUUCUGCCCUCUAACACACCAACCCUACCUGGUAGCUCUGGAGUCUAUGCCUCAGCAUAUUUCUCGUUGCUACAUCGGAACACUUGAGGCUGACAACUUCCGAAGAAAAAGAGAUUCGGUCCUGGGCAUUCCGGAGCGGUGCCAGCACUGGCCUGGCCCUGAUGGGGGCCUCGGACUACAGAAGCACAUCACGGUGGGGGCCGGGGCAGGAGGACAGCACAGGCCAAGACAGGAGACGGGAUUUCCAGCCAGGAGUGAGUGCCUUUCCUCAGGCCGCCCGGGCUACGGGAGAGCGAGUGGAGCCAGGUCAGAUGGUGCUGGGGGCCCCCCUCCCUGCGCGGCCGCCGCCUCUGCCCCGAGCGCAUCCCACAGCGGCCUCUGCUUGGGCUCCCCAUGCGCGCCUCACGAUCUGUGGCAAUCCCGAUCUGCCAGGCUGAUCUCGCGGCUGGAAGGGGCCUUGGCCUUCCUGCCAGCCCGCACCCGACAGCGGCCCCAGCCUUGCCCCCGCUGUUCCACGCCAGAAGCCCCAGCGCUGUGUGGGAGGCGCAGCUUCCCUGCCACCUGGUCUGCGUUAGUGCGGGAUCCCGGCGGGACCAGCUCACUGCCCGCCCUGCACGCUCUCCAGGCUCGCGGGGGCCCGGGUCUGGGGUGCCCCGACCCCUGUGGGGCCCGCGCCCUGCCUUUCACCCGUGUGGCAGAGUGGUCCCGGCGUGAGCCGAGGCGUGCGCCCUCCAGGCUGGGGCAGCCCGGCCGCUGCUCUGCUGAGAUUUAGGGGAGGUCCCUGGGUUUCUGCUCAGGAGAUGCUCCCUUGGGCAUCAGCUCGCUGCCCCUUCCUCCCCAGCUCAGGCAUCCCUCGCAGCGCGCCUCCUGGUGGGGGCUGGGACCGCUCUCCGAAAUCUCAGGAGCUCAGAGCUCAGAAUCCCAUUCUGCAGCCACAGCUCCGUCCUCCAUCUGAUCCCAAUGGGGGUGGGCGGGCACUCCUCGCCCCUCUCUGCCCCUGGACACUCAUUCUGGGCGCACCACGCCCAGCAGGACAAGAAUCCGCACCUCCCGGGGACGGGCACGAGGGGUUCCCCAGCGCAUUCUCCUGCGUGGGCCUCUGUGGGCCCAUGGGUGCGCCUGGCGCCUGCCCCCCUGCGGAGAUGCCUGAGGAAGACCGGCUUGCGCAGCCAGGGCGGGACUCUGGUGCUGAUGUGCGCGGUGCUUGGGACCCAAGGCUCUGAGGCCUCUGCCCUCAGCCCUGGCCCGGACUGGAGCGUGGAUUCGGACUCCGUUCGCAAGAUUAAUCUGUGCGCACAUGCACAGAGCUGAAGUCCUGUCCAGGCUGGCUGGACCAACACAGGAUCAGAAGGAAAGCAACAACCAACAAAACAGCGGCGGCGAAGCCGGGCUCCCGGCACAGGGAGGCGACCGCGGGCCCUCAGCAGCCCCGGCUGAGCCCAGCUCAGAAGCCCUGUGCUGUGAGGAGCGAGAUGCUGCGUAAACCCAAGCGUGACUUAUGGGGAACAUUUGUCUAGACUCUGUUUCUUAUUAAACACCAGCUGAUGCAGAAGUCUGCAUUAUAAAUUGUUUUCAUUCACUCACGCACGUCCCUCAGCAUUUGCAUGAAAGCGUCUUCUGUUGCAUCUCGUUUUUUGUAACAGAAUGCGUGGCCUUAAGAAAGCAUGUGCUAGCCAGCGCCGCGGCUGACUAGGCUAAUCCUCCGCCUAGCGGCGCCGGCACACCGGGUUCUAGUCCUGUUCGGGGCGCCGGAUUCUGUCCCGGUUGCCCCU
rnacentral:lncRNA from 1 species